AAAAAAAAAAAAAGAAGGAAGAAAGAAGAAGAGAUCUUUCAAAAGGGAUUGGGGUUCCAAGGCCUGAACCAUUUACUACCUGAUACUUUAAUUACACAUGGGCCUUCAAAAAAGGGUCCUAGCCGACAACAAAUUGAGAGAUCCAUAACAGUAAGCGCAAAGCUGCAUUUUCGUUGUGUUUUCCAUGAUGAAUUUACUGGUUGAAAGAAUUGAAAACUCAAAUAUAUUUUCCAGAGGAGUUUUGAAAGUCAUAAUUAAUCUAAUUUUAAGCCAUUCACAAUUUGACGAUCACUUGACAAUGAAAAAUUACAUGAGUUUUGGUGUCUGCCAUUUUUUUUUUCCCCUCUUUUCUUCUGUUUCUCCACCUUUCUCUAACAUCACUAGAUAGGCAAGGGGUUGAAUAGGGCACAUCCAUUUGUUUUACCUUUAGUUAAUAAAUUUAUAUCCUUUUUCUACUCUUUCAAUGAAAGGGGGCACUUGAUAUUUUUAUAGAAUUAUAUUUGUAAUCAACAACCCUUUUUUAUAUAUAAUCUGUAAAAUCUUCUCAUAUUCAACCGAGUAAACAGCAGAACUGAGACUG
rnacentral:misc_RNA from 1 species